UGGGCCGACCUCCCCUCAGGCCCUGAGGCGCAGUGCCCAGGGCUCCUGAAACUUUCAUGGGCUCGUGAAGACGUUUUCAUGUUUCUUUCUUUUCCAAUCAGAAGAAUGCCGUCGUCAAAAGAUCAUUUUUAAUUUUUUUAACGGAGGAAGGAGCCCUUGAAGGCAAGGGUUCCCAGAGCCCACUGAAGUCACCCUUCAGCCCUCAUCUUUGUGCUGCACCGCCUUUUGGGGAUACCAGUUUUAUGGGAUCAACGUUCCACUCUUUUGACCUCAUUUAACCGUAACCAUCUCCUGAAAGGCCCCCUUUCCAACACAGCCACAUGAGGGGUCACGGCUUCAACUUAUGAAUUUGGGGCAGGACACAAUUCAGUCUAUAGAAGUGACUGCAGAAUAUAAUGACGUGAUAGCCUGAUGGCCAUUGCUCCUCUAAUCGCUGGAACUGGUGAGUAACAGUGGUUAUUUGUUUGAGG